rnacentral:rRNA from 1 species
UACAGAGGUCUCAAGCGUUGUUCCGAUUCAUUGGGCGUAAAGGGUGCGUAGGCGGCGCUGUAAGUCUGGGGUGAAAUCUUGGAGCUUAACUCCGAAACUGCAUUCGAUACUGCCGUGCUUGAGGACUGGAGAGGAGACUGGAAUUUACGGUGUAGCGGUGAAAUGCGUAGAUAUCGUAAGGAAGACCAGUGGCGAAGGCGGGUCUCUGGACAGUUCCUGACGCUGAGGCACGAAGGCCAGGGGAGCAAACGGG